AGCAUUAUGGGAAUGGUAGUCCGUAAUAACUACCCCACAUUUGUUUAGGUAUUAGUCUUAUCUAUUGUAUAGGCUUUAUAUCACUGCACGUCACUGUUUAGUAAAUAACACACACGCAAUCGAUUUUCUGUGUCAGCAGAAAUCAGUGUUUAAUGAAAAAUGGCCAAUUGUGUCAGCUGACACUCUCAGCCAAUCAGAGCUGCCCAUUGCUCCUAAGGUUAAAACGUCCUCAUUAGCCCAACCGGCACAGAGAGGAUUGGCUGCUGGUGACUCUAAUUUAACAUUAAAACAUUAAAAUCUGUUUAAUGAUAAAUGGAAGGGCUCCAUACACUAUAACCACUUCAAAGCAAUGAAGCAGUUCCAGUUUCUCUAUAUUGGCACCCUCCUAGAAUGUG